rnacentral:lncRNA from 1 species
UUGAACGCCAUUACAACUCGUGCACGUUGUGCGAUGAACAUUUCUCUUAAAUAUUCUAAUAAAGAGGCAACAAAAAUGGCCAUUUCUGGAGGACUUUGUUAUCAUGUCCGCAACUCCAAAGAAAACCUAAUGUGACAGAGUUGACAGUAAGGCUCAGGAACAGUGAGGAAUAGAUGAUCAGCUUGAUUUACCAAAUUGUCAUACAAUUUAUUUUAAAACUUUCAUACAGAAAAACCAAUGUAUUGUUUACACCAGUAUUUUUAUCCAGUUGCCAGACACUGUCAGAUCAAAUGAAUCAAAACACAAUAUCAGACAAUUAUGUCAUGUCAAAUGACAAUGAAAAUAAAGAAGUAGCUGCCAGUUUAACGAAAGAAGGUAGAGUGGAAGUUGUGACUAGAAAAGUUGAAGAAAAAUGAAAAUUAGAAAGAGAAAGGAGAGAUGAUUCGGAAACAUCAAAUAUUGAAGAUUAUGCACACGGUAUAUUUAAUGAAAUUCUAACAAAGCUUACUUUUGGAAGGCAGCUCAGAAAAUUACUAUAGAAUGAGUGUAUUGUAAAGCUUUAGGCGUCAAGUUAGAAUAGUUGAUAGAUUCUGCUCAUAGAACAUACAAAGAAGAAAGCAGAAGAAUAUAAAAGACAAUGGAGUAAAACACAUUAAAAAAAAUGGUUGAAAAGGUAAUUGUCUAACUGAUGACAAAACUGCAAAUGAAGAAUUCAACACCGGAAAAACAGUGGUACUCAGGCAAGAUUACAAAACUUUCCCAGAUGAAGGAUUCUGCUCUGGAAAAAGAAUAUUUUAGCAAGAACAUAACCAUACAGAUGAAGGAUCUGACUUAAGAAAGAAGAAGAAAAGUUUGCAGACACAGACUCCAAUUAAUUACUUCACAAGAACAAAUAACUUCCACACAGAUAAAGGCAUUGUGUAUGCUGACUGUUGAAAGGUGAUAUUCACUGUCAGAAAAAAGAAAGAAUGCAAUAAACCUGAAAAAACCAAAUCUCCAAAAAUACAUUGCAGAAUUUUCCUACCUUGAUACAUUAAACAUAGUUUAAAGUGGAAAUGCAAGAACAUUAAGCAGAAUUUAAAUGUUUGACAAAUUGUAAACUUACUGUUCGUGAGGAGGACAGACUGUAAACUUACUGUUUGUGAGGAGGACAAACUGUAAACUUAUUGUUCGUGAGGAGGACAAACUGUAAACUUAGUGUUCGUGAGGAGGACAGACUGUAAACUUACUGUUUGUGAGGAGGACAAACUGUAAACUUACUGUUCGUGAGGAGGACAGACUGUAAACUUACUGUUUGUGAGGAGGACAAACUGUAAACUUAUUGUUCGUGAGGAGGACAAACUGUAAACUUAAUGAGGAGGACAAACUGUAAACUUACUGUUCGUGAGGAGGACAAACUGUAAACUUAUUGUUCGUGAGGAGUUGUGAGAAGGACAAACUGUAAACUUACUGUUCGUGAGGAGUCAUGAGGACAACCUGUAAACUUACUGUUCGUGAGGAGUCGUGAGAAGGACAAACUGUAAACUUAUUGUUCGUGAGGAGGACAAACUGUCAACUUAUUGUUCGUGAGGAGUCGUGAGGACAAACUGUAAACUUACUGUUCGUGAGGAGGACAAACUGUAAACUUACUGUUCGUGAGGAGGACAAACUGUAAACUUAUUGUUCGUGAGGACAAACCGUAAACUUAUUGUUCGUGAGGAGUCGUGAGGAGGACAAACUGUAAACUUAUUGUUCAUGAGGAGCCGUGAGGAGGACAAACUGCAAACUUACUGUUGGUGAGGAGGACAAACUGUAAACUUACUGUUUGUGAGGAAGACAAACUGUAAACUUACUGUUCGUGAGGAAGCCAAACUGUAAACUUACUGUUUGUUAGAAGGAGAAACUUCGUUAGGAGGGAUUGCAAAUGUGACUUUUUUAAUUGUUGUGUUUUUCAAGGCUCGCAUGAAACAAACAUCAUUUUAUAUGGAACAUUGAAGAAAAACAAGUAAGUGUUAAAAUGUAUGGAAGGAGUCGCACCUUUGACUUGUCCAGUAUUCUGCCUUCGUUUAAAGUUGGGGUAAGUUAGUAGAUAUAUAAUAUAUUAUAGAGAGUAUUUGUUUGUUUCAGUUUUAUGAUCAACAUAUCCUUCAUGAAGUGAACACCAGUUUCACAGUUCACAAGUGGCAGAGACAAGGUGUUCAUUGUUGAAUGAUAAGUUGAACUUAACGAAAUGUAAAAAAAAAGAUUGUACAUUGUAUAUUGUCUUUUCAGUGGUUUUAACCAAAACACACCAAGUUUAGAAGGGUAGUGUUACUUGCAGUAUACUGUUGAAAUUUGUAUUAAAGAUAAUAUUUUUGUCAGUUAAUGAAAAACUUACACACAGUACCAGUACAUUUUUGAUGUUUUGCAUUUUAUUCUUAGAAAAAAUCCCUUGGUUUUAUAGUUGGUUGCCAUGGUUAAUAAACCAUUGAAAAUAAAGUAAAAAACAGUUGCAAUAAUGUAACUCUAAUAAUCUUUUUUUCUAAAGUUUUUGACAGGUUGAACUUAGUUUCAAUGCAAACAAGUAGAUAUUACUUCAUGUAUGCACAAGUGUUUUAGAACAUAUCUUGAGACACCAUGUUGCAACUGUAUUUUAUACUGAAUCAGAUGUCUUGUAAGUCAUAUAGGUAAUUAAAGUGUAUUCACAGUUUUUAAUCAGGUUGGCAUGAUAAAAGCAACACUAAGUUGCAGGUUUCUUCUGCAAUAUCUUGAUUAUAUGUGUAAAUGUUUUACAGCUCUACUCCUUAAAACAGGCUUCAUUAUUGUACAAAAUAAGGACCCCUUGGAUAUUUUGACAGGGAAUUUUGUAAGUCGCUGUAAAAACACCACAAAACCACAAAUUUUGACAAGGUUUUGUAGAAUUUAAGUGUUUCAAGUUGAUAGUGUUCUUGAUUGUAGGAAAGUGUUGACUAUCUAUGUACUGUAAGAUUAGAAGUUUUUGUGAGGGAUUUAUUUUCACCAUAUUGACAGUGUAAAUUCACACAAAAUAAUGCAUGUAAAAGUGCUGCUAUUUUUACAGUUAAGUCUUAUGUAUUUCACAGCAUUGAGAAGUUGUCCUGCAUUGCAGAUAGUCUGCCUUUCAAAUGUUUUUGUAAUUUUAAAAAUGUGAACUUCCAGCCUUGUGAAAAUAUGUGGUUUUACAAUAUUUAUUAUUUUGCCGACCGGAAUGUUAACAUACUUUAAAAUUACAACUUAGAAAAUACA